UGACGAACGCUGGCGGCGUGCCUAAUACAUGCAAGUCGAGCGGACAGAUGGGAGCUUGCUCCCUGAUGUUAGCGGCGGACGGGUGAGUAACACGUGGGUAACCUGCCUGUAAGACUGGGAUAACUCCGGGAAACCGGGGCUAAUACCGGAUGGUUGUCUGAACCGCAUGGUUCAGACAUAAAAGGUGGCUUCGGCUACCACUUACAGAUGGACCCGCGGCGCAUUAGCUAGUUGGUGAGGUAACGGCUCACCAAGGCGACGAUGCGUAGCCGACCUGAGAGGGUGAUCGGCCACACUGGGACUGAGACACGGCCCAGACUCCUACGGGAGGCAGCAGUAGGGAAUCUUCCGCAAUGGACGAAAGUCUGACGGAGCAACGCCGCGUGAGUGAUGAAGGUUUUCGGAUCGUAAAGCUCUGUUGUUAGGGAAGAACAAGUGCCGUUCAAAUAGGGCGGCACCUUGACGGUACCUAACCAGAAAGCCACGGCUACUACGUGCAGCCACGCGCGGUAAACGUAGGUGGCAAGCGUAGUCCGGAAUUAUAGGGCGUAAAGGGUCGCAGCGGUCCUAAGCUGUGUAAAGCCCGAUAACGGGAGGAAUGGAACUGGAACGCAACGAC
rnacentral:rRNA from 1 species